UACGUAGGUGGCAAGCGUUGUCCGGAAUUAUUGGGCGUAAAGCGCGCGCAGGUGGUUUCUUAAGUCUGAUGUGAAAGCCCACGGCUCAACCGUGGAGGGUCAUUGGAAACUGGGGAACUUGAGUGCAGGAGAGAAGAGUGGAAUUCCACGUGUAGCGGUGAAAUGCGUAGAGAUGUGGAGGAGCACCAGUGGCGAAGGCGACUCUGUGGCCUGUAACUGACACUGAGGCGCGAAAGCGUGGGGAGCAAACAGG
rnacentral:rRNA from 1 species